CCUCACCAAGCAAGGCUCUAACUCACCCAGUGAGCGCAGCACACAGAAGAACUCCUGGCUUUCCAAAGUAGUGCACUCAGCAUAGUCGCUCUGGGGCCAGGAGUGGUAUCUUCCGGAGGAGGGUUUGCCUUGUUCCCUGGGGCACACCAUCUUCUCUCAGGCUUAGAGGCUGCUGAGCCGUUCAGGCUAGGGAAUGUGAAACAAGGGGACUGAUGCUUGAGACUCCAGUCACAGCAACCUCGACCAGGUUUCAAUUAUGUUUAGAACUGAAAGCAGCUCAAAAUCUUUUCCUUGGUCUGAAUACACAGUGAUUCCUCCCUGCCCACAGACCAGUGAGCUGACCUCUAACUGAAGACAAGCUCUGAUUCUGCAUCACUCAUAACCUAGUGGGAAAUACUUUGCUCCUGCUGCUACUUGUCUGUUCUUGCCCUUGUAUCUUCUGCUCAGUUUUCACAGCCUUUAAGCAUUUAUCUUUUCACGCCUUUGCCUGCUCUGGAUUUCCCUCAAGGCUGAUUUUGCUACGUUCAGGUCCUUAUGCCGUUUUCUUUUUUUGCUGCACACAGACCUCCACCACCCACCUCACACCCAGGCAAUCCACAAGCUGAAGGAAACUGAGGCAUCAAGCCUUCUCCCCUCCAGAACAAGCAGUGAUUCGCCAACUCAAGAGAGCCCAGCUGGUAGGUGGCCAAGCCACCACAGCCACGAGGGACCCAAACAGCCAUCCAGGACAUUGCUCAGCACAGCUGGGACAUGAGCAACAUGGAGACACUGCCAAAAAUGGGGCGAUGCGGAGGAGCAGCAGGAAAGCUCUCUCACAGUGGAGCUCAGCUAACACUGUGAUCAGUAAGGACAGACAGAAGCUCUGAACGUUUUACACUGCGAAGAUCACCUGACUAACAUCUGGACAGGUAAUUGCCUCCCUACAUAAAAUCACCCAAAAAACAGGUCUGGGGUUGCAAAGUUUUCAAGUGAGGUUUUAAAAUUGUUGAAUAGCAUGAAAUGUAUGUUAUCUCCCAGGCAACCUUGUUCAAGCUCCCUUUUUAUUUUCAAGGCAUGCUAGAGGAUGGAAAUUAUCCUCAGGUUCCCAGGUAGUGCAAUUUAUAGACUGAGGCUGCUGAAAGUGCAAGUAGAAACUACUCAGACUCUCUUAGACUGCAUGUGCUUUCAGACUCCCCUUUCACAUCAGGUGUCACC
rnacentral:lncRNA from 1 species